rnacentral:rRNA from 1 species
AGUGAACGCUGGCGGUAUGCCUAACACAUGCAAGUCGAACGGCAGCACAGUAAGAGCUUGCUCUUACGGGUGGCGAGUGGCGGACGGGUGAGGAAUACAUCGGAAUCUACUUUUUCGUGGGGGAUAACGUAGGGAAACGUACGCUAAUACCGCAUACGACCUACGGUUGAAAGCAGGGGAUCUUCGGACCUUGCGCGAUUGAAUUAGCCGAUGUCGGAUUAGCUAGUUGGCGGGGUAAAGGCCCACCAAGGCGACGAUCCGUAGCUGGUCUGAGAGGAUGAUCAGCCACACUGGAACUGAGACACGGUCCAGACUCCUACGGGAGGCAGCAGUGGGGAAUCUUGGACAAUGGGCGCAAGCCUGAUCCAGCCAUACCGCGUGGGUGAAGAAGGCCUUCGGGUUGUAAAGCCCUUUUGUUGGGAAAGAAAAGCAGCAGGUUAAUACCCCGCUGUUCUGACGGUACCCAAAGAAUAAGCACCGGCUAACUUCGUG